rnacentral:rRNA from 1 species
GACAGAGGUGCCGAGCGUUAGGCGGAAUCACUGGGCUUAAAGCGUGUGUAGGCGGAUCCGUAAGUACCUUGUGAAAUCCCACGGCUCAACCGUGGAACUGCUCGGUAUACUGCGGGUCUUGAGCCACUUAGGGGCAACCGGAACAAACGGUGGAGCGGUGAAAUGCGUAGAUAUCGUUUGGAACGCCGAUGGUGAAAACAGGUUGCUGGGAGUGCGCUGACGCUGAGACACGAAAGCCAGGGGAGCGAACGGG